rnacentral:misc_RNA from 1 species
AGACCACCUAGGCCCACUGCCUAGCGUUGGGGAUCCGCCCAGGCGGUCCCUCAAAGCCCCCAGCGGAGCUGCCAGCGUCCACUAAGCGUAGUAGUAACAUCUCGCUUCGGUAGGCACGGCAGGCCCGGCUGUAGAACGUAGACCACUA